AGGAGGCCCAGCACUUAAUCCUAUAGACCCAUGUACUUCCAAUCCCUGUGUGAAUGGGAUCUGUAGAAGGUCAGGCUCUUCUUAUUCAUGCAUCUGUAAUCGAUGCUAUUCAGGAAGCAGAUGUCAAAACUAUGAUUCUAAACGCUGCUUAAUCGAGCCCUUCGAGCCUCGGGGGCUGCCACUGAAGUAGAUGGUCGUCUAAAGUAGCAGCUUCAGUCUUGCACAUCAAUCUUGCACGACAAUCUUCUUCUGAUCAUCGCACACUGUAGUCCUGAUGGACAUACCUAAUCUAAACAUAUUCCUGUGAACUGGUGCGCCGCAAUAAAUAGUGACUUUUAUUUUUUCCAGAAAAAUAUCUUAGUUGUUAGAUUUUAAAUUUU